UAAAUCCCAGUUUAUCAGGUUGCU
rnacentral:siRNA from 1 species